UACAUGGCUGCAGAGCAGAGAGAGAGACCAGGCAGUGAGUGGACGCCAAGGACGAGAGAGGAUGGAGAAGGAAGGUAAUACCUGAAGCACUGGCCAGGAAUUUCCAAAACUGAUGAGAGAAAUCAAGCCACAGAUUCAAGAAGCUCAGAAAACCCCACACAGGAUAAAUACAAAAAUCACACCCAGAGCGACAUAGUAAAACUACGAAAACUGAGAACAAAAUAUUAAAAGCAUGAGGGUCAGGAGGGAGGACUUUCUCUUCAAAGAAGCAACAGUAAAGCCAGGGGACGAUGAAUGGCAUUUUUAAGUGUCAAAUCAUAACUGCUAUUACAAGAGACACUUGUGAAACUUUCAGUCUUCUGUGUUGUUAAAUUUUUAAACGGGGGAAAGGUACACCGAUGAUACACUAGAAGAAGCCUGGCGCAGCUUCAGUAGUGUUGGAAGGAGACUUGAAGCCCAGAAGCCUUAUUAGACACAGAGGUGGAGUUUUUUGUGGAAAAGGUUGCAUCAGGUUCCUAUUGCUGUGGUAGCAAAUUACGUACACUUGAGGGCUUAAAGCCACAGGGUUUACCCUCUACGGUUCCACAGCUCAGAAACCGGAGCUGGUCUCCUGUGCUACCCUCAGCUGUCAGCAGGCUGCAUUCCUCAGAGGCCAUUAGGGACACUCUUUGGCCCGUGGCAGCUCCCAGAGACUGCCUGCCUCCCCCGGCUCAUGGCCCUCUUCCUGUGUCUUCACGGCCAGCAGUGUCGGGCUGAGUCCUUCACACUGCCCCCUCAGGUCCUCUUUCCUGCCCUCUUCCAUUUUGAAGGGUCCCUGUGGUUACAUUGGUCCCACCUGGAAUUCCAGGAUAAUCUAGUUUUAAAUAGGAUGAUUCAGUUCAGUUCAGUCGCUCAGUUGUGUCCGACCCUUUGCGACCCCACGGACCGCAGCACACCAGGCCUCCCUGUCCAUCACCAACUCCUGGAGCUUGCUCAAACUCACAUCACCUUCAUUUUAUCUGCUAUCUUAAUUUCUCUUUCCCACGGUCCCAGGAGUUAG
rnacentral:lncRNA from 1 species